rnacentral:rRNA from 1 species
UACAGAGGCCUCGAGCGUUAAUCGGAGUCACUGGGCUUAAAGGGUGCGUAGGCGGCCCUGUAAGUCAGUGCUGAAAUAUCCCAGCUUAACUGGGAGGGUGGCAUUGAUACUGCGGGGCUAGAGUACAGAUGAGGUAGGCGGAAUUGACGGUGUAGCGGUGAAAUGCUUAGAUAUCGUCAAGAACACCUAUAGCGAAGGCAGCUUACUAGGCUGUAACUGACGCUGAGGCACGAAAGUGUGGGGAUCAAACAGG